UUUUAUGGUGGCCAUGCGUAGGGCGCUCUCGAGCGCGCCGGGUUGCCAGGUAACCGGUCUACCAACCUUCGUAUGGCCGCCACCCAC
rnacentral:antisense_RNA from 1 species